rfam:Ailuropoda melanoleuca scaffold420_41, whole genome shotgun sequence.
ACCUGGCUGGCUCAGAGAGUGGAGCAUGGGACUCUUGAUCUCAGGGUUGUGAAUUCAAGCCCCAUGUUGGGUG